GAUGAACGCUGGCGGCGUGCCUAAUACAUGCAAGUCGAGCGAACAGACGAGGAGCUUGCUCCUCUGACGUUAGCGGCGGACGGGUGAGUAACACGUGGAUAACCUACCUAUAAGACUGGGAUAACUUCGGGAAACCGGAGCUAAUACCGGAUAAUAUAUUGAACCGCAUGGUUCAAUAGUGAAAGACGGUUUUGCUGUCACUUAUAGAUGGAUCCGCGCCGCAUUAGCUAGUUGGUAAGGUAACGGCUUACCAAGGCAACGAUGCGUAGCCGACCUGAGAGGGUGAUCGGCCACACUGGAACUGAGACACGGUCCAGACUCCUACGGGAGGCAGCAGUAGGGAAUCUUCCGUAAUGGGCGAAAGCCUGACGGAGCAACGCCGCGUGAGUGAUGAAGGUCUUCGGAUCGUAAAACUCUGUUAUUAGGGAAGAACAAAUGUGUAAGUAACUAUGCACGUCUUGACGGUACCUAAUCAGAAAGCCACGGCUAACUACGUG
rnacentral:rRNA from 1 species